rnacentral:lncRNA from 1 species
CAAUGCAGUCCGCUGGCUCACUGCCCAAAACCCAGCUCCAGGUUCCACAGCACAGAAAGGGAGGCUGAUAGAUCUGAGGAGCUGCAGGAAGCUGUGAGACAGAAGUGAUCUCCUCCUGGUACGGUGUGAGUGUGUGCAGGGCACAGAAGUGUCACCCUGCAAGUCCUGUGAACCAAAAUGUGGAAGCCCCACCUCAGGUGCCCAGCUCAGCCUCUGAGUGUGAAUCAGCAGAAACAGAGGCCUCCUCAGUCCUCCACCCUCUGCAGCUCCCGGCUCCUCAGCACUGCUUUUUCCCCUCCAGAGUGCACAUUCCUGUGGAAGAACACGCUGCCUCGAGCGACACUGUACUGAGCAGGCACGUCCACUGGCAAGCACGUUCUCUCUGUGUAAUUCUUUCUACCCGGAACUCCACUAAAUAGACCAGGCUGGUCUUGAACUCACAGAGAUCCACUAUGCUCAGCCUCCUGAGUACUAGGAUUAAAGGUGUAUACCACCAUACUUGUAAUACACUAUACUUAAAAGUAAAGACAAUAUGAUAAACAGAAAAUGAAAGACUAGGAGGAUGGGCUGGCCCGAUAGAUCAGCAGAUGUGGGAUACUUACAUCUCUGGCUUGGCAGCCUAAACUCAAUUUCCAGAAUCCAGGUAAAGAAAAGAACUGAUUUCAUUGAGUUGUCCUCUGACCUCCACACACAGUGUCAAAAGCACCCCACCCCCAAGAUGUGCAUAUAAACUCAUUAAA